ACGCGCGCUACGUUUUAUUUUAUCUAGAUAUUAACUUGGGAGCUGUCCUAAGAAGUAAGUUUCCAGAAACCUGGAUAUGGGAAACACACACAGUAGGAACAAGUGGAGAAAUUCAUCUGACGCGUGAGGUGCCCGACUCGAUGACGUCAUGGAUUACAUCAGUAUUUGCGACAAAUGACCAGAGCGGCUUCGGAAUUGCAGAAAAUAUACCUAAGGUCACUGUACGAAACGAUUUCUUCAUAACAAUGGAC